UGAGAAUAGUGACAUAUUCAAGAUGGUUAAAAUGAUUAUCCAGCGGCAAUACGAUCCUGUAAUAUGCUUCAGCUUCAGCAAAAGAGAAUGUGAAUUUCUAGCAAUGCAGAUGUCUAAAAUGGAUUUAAACAAUGAUGAUGAGAAGGUGAAUAUUGAAACUAUUUUCUGGAGUGCCAUGGACAUGUUGUCGGAUGAUGAUAAAAAGCUGCCUCAGGUUUCAAAUAUGCUACCUCUAUUGAAACGUGGAAUUGGUGUGCAUCAUUCUGGUUUGCUCCCUAUAUUGAAAGAAGUGAUUGAAAUCCUGUUCCAAGAAGGAUUCAUCAAGUGUUUGUUUGCCACAGAGACUUUCAGUAUAGGGUUGAACAUGCCUGCAAAAACUGUUGUCUUUACAAAUGUCCGUAAAUUUGAUGGAGAC
rnacentral:misc_RNA from 1 species